CGCGCUGAGCACGGAGCCCAAUACGGGGCUCGAUCCCACGACUCUGAGGUCAUGACCUGAGUCAAACCCAAGAGCUGAACGCUUGACUGAGGCAGCCCUACUCCAUUUCCUCGUGUUUCAGUUUUAUGUACAUCCCGGGAAGAACUGUGUAUGUUGGUAAAGACUUAAUUUCCUCUGUAAUGUGAGCACUAUCACAGCGUACUUUCAACAACUUUGUGGGUGGCGCCUGGGUUACAAAGGAUUAUUAGACCAUGUGAUUGGCAUUACCGUUUUUCUUUAAAUGAGACGAUUCCCACAUAUCUGAUUUCAUUCAUUUCUGAAUCAUAGAAAGCUUAUAUAAUUUUGUUCCCACAUUUCUCCUUUUUUUAGAUUUGUAUUUUAUUGCUUUUCUGUUUUCUUUUUUUAAAUUUUUUUCUGUGCUCCCAGAUUCAUUGUUUAUAGACCACAAUUCUCUUAAUACAGAGAACUUAAGACCCUUUAGCUUUCAUAGAUGCUAUGCUUUUUACCCUUUUCACUACGUAUCUUAAAACAAUGGCUUAUAAGUAGUAUUUCUUAAUAGAAAUGUUUCAUAAAUGAAGAAACUAAU